GGAGUUAGCCGGUGCUUCUUCUGUGAGUGAUGUCCUUCCUGCCGGCUAUUAACCCGCAGGCCUUCUUCCUCACUGAAAGUGCUUUACAACCCGAAGGCCUUCUUCACACACGCGGCAUGGCUGGAUCAGGGUUGCCCCCAUUGUCCAAUAUUCCCCACUGCUGCCUCCCGUAGGAGUCUGGGCCGUGUCUCAGUCCCAGUGUGGCUGAUCAUCCUCUCAGACCAGCUACGGAUCGUCGCCUUGGUGAGCCGUUACCUCACCAACCAGCUAAUCCGACAUAGGCUCAUCCGAUAGCGCGAGGCCCGAAGGUCCCCCGCUUUCCCCCGUAGGGCGUAUGCGGUAUUAGCCUGGGUUUCCCCCAGGGUUAUCCCCCACUACCGGGGCAGAUUCCUAUGCAUUACUCACCCGUCCGCCGCUCGCCACCAGGGAGCAAGCUCCCCGUGCUGCCGCUCGACUUGCAUGUGUUAGGCCUGCCGCCAGCGUUCAAUCUGAGCCAGAAUCAAACUCUGA
rnacentral:rRNA from 1 species